GGGCGCAUAGCUCAGGGGUAGAGCGCUCGCUUUGCAUGCGAGAGGUCAUGGGUUCAAAUCCCAUUGUGUCCA
rnacentral:tRNA from 1 species